rnacentral:tRNA from 1 species
GGUGGGAUGGUGUAAUGGUAGCACGUGACGUUGUGGCCGUUUCAAUCUGGGUUCGAUUCCCAGUCCCGCCA